AGCGAACGCUGGCGGCGUGCCUAACACAUGCAAGUCGAACGGCAGCACGGGGGCAACUCUGGUGGCGAGUGGCGAACGGGUGAGUAAAGCAUCGGAACGUGCCCUGGAGUGGGGGGAUAACGUAGCGAAAGUUACGCUAAUACCGCAUAUUCUGUGAGCAGGAAAGCAGGGGAUCGCAAGACCUUGCGCUCUGGGAGCGGCCGAUGUCGGAUUAGCUAGUUGGUGGGGUAAAGGCCUACCAAGGCGACGAUCCGUAGCGGGUCUGAGAGGAUGAUCCGCCACACUGGGACUGAGACACGGCCCAGACUCCUACGGAGGCAGCAGUGGGAAUUUUGGGACAAUGGGCGAAAGCCUGAUCCAGCCAUGCCGCGUGAGUGAAG
rnacentral:rRNA from 1 species